rnacentral:rRNA from 1 species
ACAACCGGGGAUUGCCUUAGUACGGCGAGUGAGCGGCAAAAGCUCAAAUUUGAAAUCUGGUACCUUCGGUGCCCGAGUUGUAAUUUGGAGAGGGCAACUUUGGGGCCGUUCCUUGUCUAUGUUCCUUGGAACAGGACGUCAUAGAGGGUGAGAAUCCCGUGUGGCGAGGAGUGCGGUUCUUUGUAAAGUGCCUUCGAAGAGUCGAGUUGUUUGGGAAUGCAGCUCUAAGUGGGUGGUAAAUUCCAUCUAAAGCUAAAUAUUGGCGAGAGACCGAUAGCGAACAAGUACAGUGAUGGAAAGAUGAAAAGAACUUUGAAAAGAGAGUGAAAAAGUACGUGAAAUUGUUGAAAGGGAAGGGCAUUUGAUCAGACAUGGUGUUUUGUGCCCUCUGCUCCUUGUGGGUAGGGGAAUCUCGCAUUUCACUGGGCCAGCAUCAGUUUUGGUGGCAGGAUAAAUCCAUAGGAAUGUAGCUUGCCUCGGUAAGUAUUAUAGCCUGUGGGAAUACUGCCAGCUGGGACUGAGGACUGCGACGUAAGUCAAGGAUGCUGGCAUAAUGGUUAUAUGCCGCCCGUCUUGAAACCACGGACCA